rnacentral:rRNA from 1 species
UAGAGUUUGAUCCUGGCUCAGGACGAACGCUGUUGGCGCGCCUAACACAUGCAAGUCGAACGAGAGAUGAGGAGCUUGCUCUUCAAAUCGAGUGGCGAACGGGUGAGUAACGCGUGAGGAACCUGCCUCAAAGAGGGGGACAACAGUUGGAAACGACUGCUAAUACCGCAUAAGCCCACGGCUCGGCAUCGAGCAGAGGGAAAAGGAGCAAUCCGCUUUGAGAUGGCCUCGCGUCCGAUUAGCUAGUUGGUGAGGUAACGGCCCACCAAGGCGACGAUCGGUAGCCGGACUGAGAGGUUGAACGGCCACAUUGGGACUGAGACACGGCCCAGACUCCUACGGGAGGCAGCAGUGGGGAAUAUUGCACAAUGGGGGAAACCCUGAUGCAGCGACGCCGCGUGGAGGAAGAAGGUCUUCGGAUUGUAAACUCCUGUUGUUGAGGAAGAUAAUGACGGUACUCAACAAGGAAGUGACGGCUAACUACGUGCCAGCAGCCGCGGUAAAACGUAGGUCACAAGCGUUGUCCGGAAUUACUGGGUGUAAAGGGAGCGCAGGCGGGAGAACAAGUUGGAAGUGAAAUCCAUGGGCUCAACCCAUGAACUGCUUUCAAAACUGUUUUUCUUGAGUAGUGCAGAGGUAGGCGGAAUUCCCGGUGUAGCGGUGGAAUGCGUAGAUAUCGGGAGGAACACCAGUGGCGAAGGCGGCCUACUGGGCACCAACUGACGCUGAGGCUCGAAAGUGUGGGUAGCAAACAGGAUUAGAUACCCUGGUAGUCCACACCGUAAACGAUGAUUACUAGGUGUUGGAGGAUUGACCCCUUCAGUGCCGCAGUUAACACAAUAAGUAAUCCACCUGGGGAGUACGACCGCAAGGUUGAAACUCAAAGGAAUUGACGGGGGCCCGCACAAGCAGUGGAGUAUGUGGUUUAAUUCGACGCAACGCGAAGAACCUUACCAAGUCUUGACAUCCCUUGACGAUGCUGGAAACAGUAUUUCUCUUCGGAGCAAGGAGACAGGUGGUGCAUGGUUGUCGUCAGCUCGUGUCGUGAGAUGUUGGGUUAAGUCCCGCAACGAGGGCAACCCCUAUCUUCAGUAGCCAGCAGGUAAGGCUGGGCACUCUGGAGAGACUGCCAGGGAUAACCUGGAGGAAGGUGGGGACGACGUCAAAUCAUCAUGCCCCUUAUGAUCUGGGCGACACACGUGCUACAAUGGCGGUCACAAAGUGAGGCAAACCUGCGAGGGGGAGCAAACCACAAAAAGGCCGUCCCAGUUCGGACUGUAGUCUGCAACCCGACUACACGAAGCUGGAAUCGCUAGUAAUCGCGAAUCAGAAUGUCGCGGUGAAUACGUUCCCGGGUCUUGCACGCACCGCCCGUCA